rnacentral:lncRNA from 1 species
GGAAUAAGGACAGACAUGGAGCUCAAUCUGGCCAUGGCCCAGUAAGUGCAUCUCAGUUCAAGGUGAAAAGGCCUACGUUACAGCUUUGACGUGGAUUACGACAUGUUGUGCAAUUUACAGUCAAAUCAAUGUCAGAAUGUUUUGUAUAGCAUAUGAGGUCCCUAGCUUGGGUAUCUAGCCUACCUGACUGUUUCAGCAUUCAGACACAUUACAUUGUCUUGACAGCAGCUAAUGGGGCUCCAUAAUAAAUACAAAUACCAAUUCCAGAAAACAACUUCAAAAUGUGUGUGUGCCCACCGGAUGUAAAUGACUAUCAACAUUGUUGUUCUAUGGCUGGCCUAGGUUGUAUUCAUUAGGGCAUACUGUAGUUGACGUAGGAAAGUGUUUUACAACAGAAAAUGAAAACAAGCCUUUCUUAUUGGACAAGUUCAGGCAGUCCCUCCCUGUUUCAAUCUGUUUUGUUCCCUUUGGUGCCCAAUGAAAAUGAACCAGGCUGGUUGUGAAAGGCCUGGCAUUCACUCACCUAAUUGACUUCUCUGUUAUGUUAAGAUGUUCUGUUCUGAGAAGAUUUGCGGGCAUCAAGCUGGGAACCCCUUUAAGGACAAUUGCUUUCGAUGUGAAAUGCUUACAUGGCAGUAAUGAAUGUCCUCUGGCAUAAUCCAUGGACCACUGGUUAUGGACGAUUCCUUCAUAGUGAUUGGUUGAUCAGCAGCUCCAUGGUUCCACAGUGAAAGACUGUGAAGAAUUAACCACAGGAUGAGAAUCACAUACUGAGGGACUUUACCAGACAAAUUAGCUUGGUCUGAGGGGCUUUGUGUUUUCUAUUGAUUCAAUUGCUGUGCUGUCAUGACAGUCUUGACAGCUUAUAAAUAGAAUCAGUAGAAAGAAUGAGAUGGGGUGGUACAGCCUCAUUAAAUAGUAUUUUCAGUCUAUCAUGGGUACUAGAUUGAGUUUUAUUUGUUUUAAUGAAUUCCAUUUCAGAUUAAUUAAAGCAUUUGGGGAGUUGUAUGAUCAUUUGAAUUGAGGAGAGAGUGUCUAGGUCGGCAUUACCUUGAAUAAUGUUCAGGACAAGCUGACAUGAGGGUAUAUACAGGGACUAUAGGCUAGGGUACCAUACGUUUUUAUCAAUUCACAACCCUUGGGGCCUGGGGAAACCUGUCUGACAUAAUUCCUGUUCUAAAGCUGCUCCAAGUCACCUGACUGGAACAUUAGUGAAGCCUCUGUGUCCAACCUCUUAUCAGUUCAAGUGCUUUCAUGAUCGAGUCCUUCCUAAUUACUGACACCAACUCGGGAGUCCCUCCUGUUUAAUGACCUCUUUUAGUAGGCCUACUGCAGAGACUCAGCACCAAGGAGCUUCAGAACAGAGGACAGCGCUCCCCCAACCACCUGCCUGCCAACAUGGGACAGACGCACCACACGGAGCAGAAUGACCCAGAGAUCGAUGUCAAGGCGCUCCAGGACAUGUACAAAAAGUUUGUGACGGAGUGCCCGAGCGGUGUUUUAUUUAUCCACGAGUUCAAGCGUUUUUUUGGCGUCGACCCAACUGGGGAAGUCUCUGAGUAUGCGGAGAGUAUGUUUCGAGCUUUUGACAAGAAUGGGGAUAACACCAUUGAUUUUCUGGAGUUUGUGGCAGCCUUGAAUCUGGUUUUCCGGGGGGACUUGGAGCACAAAUUACGCUGGUCAUUUAAAGUAUACGACAAGGACGGCAACGGCUAUGUAGAUAGGACAGAACUGCGAGCUAUUAUUGAUAGUAUAUAUCGAUUAAAGACGACGUCCAAGAGAGAGCAGGAGGGUAUGCAGCUGUCGGUGAAUGAAGUGUGUGAAAGAAUACUGAAGACUGUGGAUGUGGACAAUGACGGUCACAUCACCCUGGAGGAGUUCAUCAAGGGGGCCCAGGGAGACCCAUGGAUCAUGAACAUGCUCCAACUGGACAUGAACCCUUAUGGCUGGGUGCUGGAACAGAGAAGGAAGAGCGCACACUUUUAAAAUGACUGGAAAGACAAAAGCAUCUUCAUUUAACAUUUUUCUUUAUUUUUUCCCCUUUUUUUUUCUUAAACUAAAUUAGGUUCCAAAUCAAUUGCACAUAAUAGGAAAAAACACAUUGCAGAUUCAUUCAGAUUGUUUAAGCUAUUUUUAAUUAUAAGGACAGGAAUGGUUGUGUCGAUUACCUUCCAUAAAUUCCAUGAGAUGAACAGCUUGUUCAUUCUGAGUGAACCUGCAGUGCAGUUUUUCUUUAUCUAUAGAUGAUUUAAUUGGGGCCUUAAAACAAUGUCAGUUCCACUUUAACUACUUUGCAGAUAUGAAACAAACAGACAAUCAUAAUAUCAAUACAAAAUAUAAAAUUCCCAGAUCAUGCUACAAAACCAACUUAAUAAGAGGUUUUAAAAAUAGGUUCUAUUUCACUCAAAAUUCCAUGACAUACAGUAAGGCAUUGUUGGGAGAAUAGAUGGAUGCAGUUCAAUGCAUGAAUAAUAUAAUUCACCAAUACAGUGCAUUCGGAAAGUAUUCAGACCUUGACUUUUUCCACAUUUUGUUACGUUACAGCCGUAUUCUAAAAUGGAUUAAAUCAUUUUUUUCCCUCAUCAAUCUACACACAAUAACCCAUAAUGACAAAGCAAAAACAGGUUUUUAGAAAUGUUAGCAAAUGUAUUAAAAAUAAAAAAAAAUGAAAUAUAACAUUUACAUAAGUAUUCAGACCUUUACUCAGUACUUUGUUGAAGCACCUUUGGCAGUGAUUACAGCCUUGAGUCUUCUUGGGUAUGACGCUACAAGCUUCGCACACCUGUAUUUGGCAAGUUUCUCCCAUUCUUCUAUGCAGAUCCUCUCAAGCUCUGUCAGGUUGGAAUAAGGAGAAGAGCUGCACAGAUAUUUUCAGGUCUCUCCAGAAAUGUUAGAUUGGGUUCAAGUCUGGGCUCUGACUGGGCCACUCAAGGAAAUUCAGACACUUGUCCCGAAGCCACUCCUGCAUUGUCUUGGCUUUGUGCUUAGGGUCCUUGUCCUGUUGGAAGGUGAACCUUCACCCCAGUCUGAGGUCCUGAGCACUCUGGAAAAGGUGUUCAUCAAGGAUCUCUCUGUACUUUGCUCCGUUCAUCUUUCCUGCAAUCCUGACUAGUCUCCCAGUCCCUGCCGCUGAAAAACAUCCCCACAGCAUGAUGCUGCCACCACCAUGCUUCACCUUAGGGAUGGUGCCAGGUUUCCUCCAGACGUGACGCUUGGCAUUCAGGCUAAAGAGUUCAAUCUUGGUUUCAUCAGACCAGAGAAUCUUGUUUCUCAUGGUCUGAGAGUCCUUUAGGUGCCUUUUGGCAAACUCCAAGCGGGCUGUCAUGUGUCUUUUACUGAGGAGAGGCUUCCAUCUGGCCACUCUACCAUAAAGGCCUGAUUGGUGAAGUGUUGCAGAGAUGGUUGUCUUUCUGGAAGGUUCUCGCAUUGCCACAGAGGAGCUCUGAAGCUCUGUCAGAGUGACCAUCGUGUUCUUUGUCACCUCCCUGACCAAGGCCCUUUUCCCCUGAUUGCUCACUUUGGCUGGGCGGCCAGCUCUAGGAAGAGUCUUUGUGGUUCCAAACUUCUUCCAUAUAAGAAUGAUGGAGAACACUGUGUUCUUGGGGACCAUCAAUGCUGCAGGCAUUUUUUUAUACCCCAGAUCUGUGCAUCGACACAAUCAUGUCUCGGAGCUCUACGGACAAUUCCUUAUAUAGACAGGUGUGUGUCUUUCAAAUCAUGUCCAAUCAAUUGAAUUUACCACAUGUGGGAUCCAAUCAAGUUGUAGAAACAUUUCAAGGAUGAUCAAUGUAAACAGGCUGCACCUGAGCUCAAUUUCGAGUCUUAUAGCAAAGGGUCUGAAUACCUGUUUUCGCUUUGUCAUUAUGGGGUAUUGUGUGUAGAUUGAUGAGGAUUUUUUUUUUAUUUAAUCCAUUUUAGAAUAAGGCUGUAACGAAACAAAAUGUGGAAAAAGUUAAGGGGUCUGAAUAAUUUCAAUAUGCACUGUACAUUUCUUGGUAGUCCAAAAAAUAUUGCUAUCAAGUUGUAAAUCACAGUUGGCCUGGUACAUUGUUUGCUGCCUCCACUUAAAUCGGGAUGCAUUGUUUCAGUUUCAAUCACUCAAUAUUUUGGGACAAAACUGGACGAAUGUAACUAUGGCUGGGAAUGUCAAUACAAUCAAACUUGCAAGGGCAAUGAUCACAAGAUUUUAGCUCAUCUCGCUCUGGCUAGUAUUAGUUGUUUAUCUUGUGGUUGUUGAUGUGCAUAACUGAAGGUGUCAUGCUCUGACCUAGGAGAGCUGUGUUUUCUCUGUUUAGUUAGGUCAGGGUGUGAUAGGAGGGUGGGCAUUCUAUGUUUUGUUUUCUAUGUUUUGGCCGGGUAUGGUUUCCAAUCAGAGGCAGCUGUCUCUCGUUGUCUCUGAUUGGAAGCCAUACUUAGGCAGCCUGUUUUCCCUGUGUUUUUGUGGGAUCUUGUUUUUGUGCAGCUGUGUGUGAGCAGCCCCAGAACGUCACAUUUGUUUCAGUUUCCCCUGUUUAUUGUUUUGUUCAAGUUCACAAAUACAAUAUGUGGAACUACCGGCACGCUGCGCCUUGGCUGAUCUUUGACAGGGAAUUCGAAGACAGCACUCGUGACAGAAGAUCCCACCAAAAGAAAGCCAAGCAGCGUGCGCUCACCAGGAAGACGAGUGGGACCAAGCAGUGUGGUUCAGAGGACUGGACCUGGGAAGAGAUCCUGGAUGGGGCAGGACCUUGGACAAGGCCGGGAGAGUAUCGCCGCCCGCCGGAGGAGAUAGAGGCAGCGAAGGCGGAACGGCGAUACUGGGAAGAACGGCUAAGAGAGCUACAGGAGCCCGAGAGGCAGCGGCAAAAAAAAAAAUUGUGGGGGGGGGGGCACACGGGUAGAUUGGCUAAGGCGGGUGUAAGACCUGAGCCAACUCCCCGUGCUUACCGUGGGGAGCGAGUGACUGUACAAGCACCGUAUUAUGCGGUGGUGCGCACGGUGUUGCCCAUGCGCACUCACAGCCCGGUGCGCUCGGUGCAAGCUCCUCACCGUUGUUGUGCUAAGGUUGGCACUCAGCCAGCUUGGAGUAUGCCAUCAUUCACUUUGAGCUGGACUGUGUGUUUACAGGCAGUAGGGCCUGCCAUCAUUCACUUUGAACUAGACUGUGUGUUAACAGGCAGUAGGACCUGCCAUUCUGAAAUAAUUCAGAAUAGCCUACUACACCAUGAAAAUGCCCUUAAUUUAGCCACAGAGGAUCAACAGCUUCUUUAAAAAAAAUGCCAAGCUGUGGAUUGUGUGUAGCCCAAUAACAAGGCAUGGCCUACAGUCGGGAACGCGCUGCAAAUCUGUCAGUGAACAGUAUGCAGACAAAAUGGGCUUUCUAAAUAUUUCUAAAACAAUUGCGGGAAAACACAGGUUGGAAACCAAAUGUCUCCUGCUAAAAAGAGAAGAAGUCUGCUGUAGCAUAACAAAAUAUUUGAUCAACUUCCAAAUAUUGUUUUACAAAGUAAUCUGACUAUGUCGUAUGGCUGUGGGCUACACUAGUUCAUUUAGCAGACAAGAUUUGCUUAGAAUUCUGAGGCAUUAUUUUAUAUCUGUCAUGACCGUCGUUUAAAUAACUGGACCAAGGCGCAGCGUGAGUAGAGUUCCACAUUUUAUUGCUCGUGAAACUUCAAAAAAUAAAAAAGAUAUAACGAUCGUGCAAAACGUAGCGCACAAAGGCACUCGCACAAAACAUUAUCCCACCAUGCAGGUGAGAAAAGGGACACACUAAGUAUAAUCCCCAAUUAGAGGCAAAGAUAUUCAGCUGCCUACAAUUGGGAACCAUACUCACACACCAACAUAGAACUAUAAUAACUAGAAAAAAAACCUAGUCACGCUCUGACCUAUUACACCAUAGAGAACCCCGAGGGCGCUCUAUGGUCAGGGUGUGACAAUAUCAUUUUAUAGUAUGAAGAAUAUAGUUUAACAUAGCUGAAUAAAAUAUAAAUCAUAUUUUCUCCAAACGAUUUGGGGGAGUGUGGACAUGCAGCAAUUCUGUGUUGAGCAGUUAACAAAGAAACAGCUAUUCCUAUAUGCUUAAUUUAGAGUUAUUUAUGAAACUUUAGUUGUGAUGCAAAUGUUGGGCUAUAUAUAUAUUUUGAUUUUAAUACAUUCUAAGGCUGUAUGGUGCUACUCUCAUUAUGAUUUUUUAAAAGUUGCAUGAAAGGCAUGAGCUCAGCUUUGUUUUUUUGCGCAGGCUGUACAGACUCAUUCACAAUCUGACAAACACUUGAUAAUUCCUCAAAUUUCCUGGCUGCAUCCCCUGUGUGGCCGUAAUGCUCCUUAAAAAAAAUCCAUGCCUUUUGCGGCCAGUAGCCAUUGUGCCCUUGGGCUGAAUAUGAUCAUUAUAAUUCCUAUGGACAGCCAUGUGAGCACCUCUCACUCACGUGGCUGUCCAUCACGUGAUCGGGUCUUUCUCACAGGCUACAAGUGAAGACAGACUCGGGGACGCAACGGCGCACAUCCAUAUCCAGUUCUGAGGUGCAUAUUGGAAGAACUGUCUAAAUUUACUUUUCGUCAGCCAACAAGAUGAGUAGGCCUACCGAACAGCUAAAGUACUAGCCUAUGUCAAUCUACUAUCCCCCAUAAUACAAAAGUUGACCUAUUCUAUUCUGUGCGAGAAAUAAAUAUUCCAAACAUAGUGUCAUGACUAUCUCUAUCUUGGUGAGGAUCACAGGACAACAGAUAGCCCAAACCCCCUCUCUCCCAGAGGAGAGGGGGAGUUGGGCUGGUUUUAGGACUUAAUGACAGGUCGUAAACUUUCUCUCUCUUGCACUGCAGUAUGGAGAAGUUAAAAAUCCUUUCGUUACAACAGAGAGAAACUGUGACACCAAAACUUCAACAUCAAAAGAUUGGACAUUGGAACAUUUGUUUUGAAAUCCAAAUGUUUGGAAUGGUUGGUAAGGAUCCAAACAAUAAUCAUGUCAUCAUUUAUUAUUUUGUGAUGUCAUAAGGAUGGUAUAACAAGAUAACUGUAACUCUAAGAGUGUACACGCCCGAGUUGUCAGGUUUGCAUCUAAAUGUUGUAUAAAAUCAAUGAUUAAAACAUACCUGUCUGAAGAUUUACAGGUGCAAAUACUUAGCUAGUCCCCCCCUUCAUUUUAGAGCCCGUUUAUUACUAUGC